rnacentral:rRNA from 1 species
CUGGAACUGAGACACGGUCCAGACACCUACGGGUGGCAGCAGUCGAGAAUCAUUCGCAAUGGACGAAAGUCUGACGGUGCGACGCCGCGUGGAGGACGAAGGCCCUAGGGUCGUAAACUCCUGUCAUCAGAGAGUAAAUGCUUAGUUAGUAACUGAUCUAAGUCUUGAUAGUAUCUGAAGAGGAAGGGACGGCAAACUUCGUGCCAGCAGCCGCGGUAAUACGAAGGUCCCAAGCGUUGUUCGGAUUUACUGGGCGUAAAGCGUCUGUAGGCGGCAUGGUAAGUCAGAUGUGAAAUCCCGAGGCUCAACCUCGGAACUGCAUCCGAUACUGCCAAGCUUGAGUAUUGGAGGGGAGUCUGGAAUUCUCGGUGUAGCAGUGAAAUGCGUAGAUAUCGAGAGGAACACUAGUGGCGAAGGCGAGACUCUGGACAAUAACUGACGCUGAGAGACGAAGGCCGGGGUAGCGAAAAGGAUUAGAUACCCUUGUAGUCCCGGCAGUAAACGGUGUGCGCUUGGUGUAGGAGGAUUCGACCCCUUCUGUGCCGGAGCUAACGCGUUAAGCGCACCGCCUGGGGAGUACGGUCGCAAGAUUAAAACUCAAAGAAAUUGACGGGGACCCGCACAAGCGGUGGAGCAUGUGGCUUAAUUCGAUGCAACGCGAAGAACCUUACCUGGGCUUGACAUGUUAGUCGUAGAUUUGUGAAAGCUUAUCGUCACUUCGGGUGGACUAUCACAGGUGCUGCAUGGCUGUCGUCAGCUCGUGUCGUGAGAUGUUGGGUUAAGUCCC